UGCCAGGAGAAGCCUCUGGACAUGCCUGU
rnacentral:piRNA from 1 species